rnacentral:rRNA from 1 species
UGGUGGAGUGAUUUGUCUGGUUAAUUCCGUUAACGAACGAGACCCCUGCCUGCUAAAUAGCUCGUCUAGUGCUUGUCACUGGGUGGAGCUUCUUAGAGGGACGUGCAUUUUAUUAGAUGCAGGAAGAUAGGGGCAAUAACA